rnacentral:rRNA from 1 species
UACGGGGGGGGGCAAGCGUUUGUUCGGAAUUACUGGGCGUAAAGCGCAUGUAGGCGGCCAAGCAGGUCGGAUGUGAAAUCCCUCGGCUCAACCAAGGAAGUGCAUUCGAAACCGCAUGGCUCGAGUCCCGGAGAGGAAGGUGGAAUUCUCGGUGUAGAGGUGAAAUUCGUAGAUAUCGAGAGGAACACCGGUGGCGAAAGCGGCCUUCUGGACGAGGACUGACGCUGAGAUGCGAAAGCGUGGGGAGCAAACAGG